GGCGAACGGGUGAGUAACACGUGGGCAAUCUGCCCUUCACUCUGGGACAAGCCCUGGAAACGGGGUCUAAUACCGGAUAACACUCUGUCCCGCAUGGGACGGGGUUGAAAGCUCCGGCGGUGAAGGAUGAGCCCGCGGCCUAUCAGCUUGUUGGUGGGGUAAUGGCCUACCAAGGCGACGACGGGUAGCCGGCCUGAGAGGGCGACCGGCCACACUGGGACUGAGACACGGCCCAGACUCCUACGGGAGGCAGCAGUGGGGAAUAUUGCACAAUGGGCGAAAGCCUGAUGCAGCGACGCCGCGUGAGGGAUGACGGCCUUCGGGUUGUAAACCUCUUUCAGCAGGGAAGAAGCGAAAGUGACGGUACCUGCAGAAGAAGCGCCGGCUAACUACGUGCCAGCAGCCGCGGUAAUACGUAGGGCGCAAGCGUUGUCCGGAAUUAUUGGGCGUAAAGAGCUCGUAGGCGGCUUGUCACGUCGGAUGUGAAAGCCCGGGGCUUAACCCCGGGUCUGCAUUCGAUACGGGCUAGCUAGAGUGUGGUAGGGGAGAUCGGAAUUCCUGGUGUAGCGGUGAAAUGCGCAGAUAUCAGGAGGAACACCGGUGGCGAAGGCGGAUCUCUGGGCCAUUACUGACGCUGAGGAGCGAAAGCGUGGGGAGCGAACAGGAUUAGAUACCCUGGUAGUCCACGCCGUAAACGUUGGGAACUAGGUGUUGGCGACAUUCCACGUCGUCGGUGCCGCAGCUAACGC
rnacentral:rRNA from 1 species